GAUGAACGCUGGCGGCGUGCCUAAUACAUGCAAGUCGAGCGAACAGACGAUGCUUUUGUUCCUCUUUCGUUUGCGGCACACGGGUGUGUAACACGUGUAAACCCUACCUAUCAUACUGGGAUAAUUUCGGGACUCCGGCGCUAAUCCCCGAUAAUAUCCUGAACCGUAGGGCGCCAUAGUGAAAUUCGGCUGUGCGGUAACUUAUAGCGGCUUCCAGGCCGCAUUAGGUAGUUGGUAAGGUAACGGCUUACCAAGGCAACGAUGCGUAGCCGACCUGAGAGGGUGAUCGGCCACACUGGAACUGAGACACGGUCCAGACUCCUACGGGAGGCAGCAGUAGGGAAUCUUCCGCAAUGGGCGAAAGCCUGACGGAGCAACGCCGCGUGAGUGAUGAAGGUCUUCGGAUCGUAAAACUCUGUUAUUAGGGAAGAACAAAUGUGUAAGUAACUAUGCACGUCUUGACGGUACCUAAUCAGAAAGCCACGGCUAACUACGUG
rnacentral:rRNA from 1 species